GACUCGACGAGUCCAAUAAGGGACUCGGCGAGUCGACGCUGUUCAGCUGAACCCUAGCCGUUUCGAUUCUGAACCGUAUAUAAUGAUAUUAUGGCCGUCAUGUCGGGUCUUUUGGCCGAUUGAAGAUCCCCUGGGAGUGUGUGAGCAUCUGAAGCAAGAGAGAGGACUUGAGAAGGCUUGAAGAGAUUGUUAGACAAGGAGGAGCAAGGUGGUGAUCAAAGGAAUCGAGUACUGGAGGUUUGGAGACACAGGAAACACGUUUCCAGGGAACCUGCGGACUAGCGGAUUGUGUGCAAGUAGCUCGAAGAGGUUAUAGCCUGCGUACUACGAGAGACAUCAUGGUUAUCACACGCAAUGGGGCGAGUUCGAGCGGUGCGAGUGACGAGGAGAUUCGUCAGAUUAUUCAGGAAGAGGUAGCUGCGGCGGUCCGGGCUGAGAUCCCGGAGAUGUUUGGGUCUAUUAAGACCACGUUGAUGGAGGAGUUUGAGGAGCGGUGCGCCGCAAUUUCUGAAGCUGCA